rnacentral:lncRNA from 1 species
UGUCUAUAAACAGGAACACAUGAAAAAGCAUCAGCGUUUCCACCUGGGAUCAUUGUUUCUAUUUGUCUAUUCACAUUGACAUUGGCGGCAGUGAUCAGCUUUUGUAUUUACAAAGCGAAAAAAGGUGCCCAGAAGAAUGACCAAACAAUCUAUGCAAAAUUUGAUGAGAACAUCAAGCCACAAAAGUCGCUGGAGAUGUUGGAGAAAUCAGAGAAUCCUCAUACAGUGUAUACUACUGCAAGAGAUUUAGGACAAACUGAUGUUACCAACCACACCACACCCAACGACGACCCUAUGAAUCAGGUGAAGAUUAAACAAUGACUCUAAUCUCACUUAGUAACAAUUCAUUGAAAAUUAAAUGAU